UACGUAGGGUGCGAGCGUUAAUCGGAAUUACUGGGCGUAAAACGUGCGCAGGCGGUUUGUCGCGUCUGCUGUGAAAACUGGAGGCUCAACCUCCAGCCUGCAGUGGGUACGGGCAGACUAGAGUGCGGUAGGGGAGAUUGGAAUUCCUGGUGUAGCGGUGAAAUGCGCAGAUAUCAGGAGGAACACCAAUUGCGAAGGCAGCUCGCUGGAACGUAACUGACGCUGAGACGCGAAAGCGUGGGGAGCAAACAGG
rnacentral:rRNA from 1 species